rnacentral:rRNA from 1 species
AGAGUUUCGUAGUCUCGGCUCAGAACGAACGACUGCGGCAGGCGUUAACACAUAGCAAGUCGAGCGCCUCGCAAGAGGAGACGGCGAGACGGGUGGAGUAACGCGUGGGAAUCUACCCACUCUCUACGGAACGAACUCCGGGAAACUGGAGCUAAUACCGUAUACGUCCUUCGGGAGAAAGAUUUAUCGGAGAUGGAUGAGCCCGCGUUGGAUUAGCUAGUUGGUGGGGUAAUGGCCUACCAAGGCGACGAUCCAUAGCUGGUCUGAGAGGAUGAUCAGCCACACUGGGACUGAGACACGGCCCAGACUCCUACGGGAGGCAGCAGUGGGGAAUAUUGGACAAUGGGCGAAAGCCUGAUCCAGCCAUGCCGCGUGAGUGAUGAAGGCCCUAGGGUUGUAAAGCUCUUUCAACGGUGAAGAUAAUGACGGUAACCGUAGAAGAAGCCCCGGCUAACUUCGUG